GAACCAGGCAAUACAUCAUAGAUGGUUGUGCGGUAGAGGUCAGGCAGCGCCCAGUAACUCGUACCUGAUGCCACUAACAUUCCAAAGACGUCCUAUCAAACAAAGAGGAUCGAAUCAGAUACGGUANGCCGUGUNCUAUNCCGUGGUCGGACGUAUACCUUGGCCCUGCGAAUCAGUUUCGGUUGGGUGGUAUUGCAAUCUGACUAAGGUUGACGAGGGCCCACCNAGAGUAGAGCAUGCCGGGGCUUCGACUCAACACGGGAUCUCCAGUCCGACGGAACNGAUUGAGAGCUCUUCAAUGUGUGGUGCAUGGCCGUUAGGAUGACCUCGAAUGCGAUACGACGAGCUUAGCCUGCUAAGCUAUCAAGAACGUUCACGCUUCUUGGGACAAUAUGCGCAAGUCGGCAAUUACACGUCUGGACGCCUNGACGUUCUGGCCCGCACGCGCGCUACACCCCGGAGCCAGCGAGUCUAACCUGUGCCGAGAGGUAUGGGUAAUCAAAUGAAACUCCGUCGCGCGGGGAUAGAGCAUUGCAAAUAUAGCUCUUCAACGAGGAAUUCCUAGUAGCGCAAGUCAUCAGCGUGCGUGAUUACGUCCCCGCCCUAAGUACACACCGCCCGUACUCAAAGAAAGAUAAUCAGGGUAGUACUUAAAGAGACCGCCACACCAAGUUUCGGCUAUAACUUGUAUAG
rnacentral:rRNA from 1 species